UGUAGAUACUAUGUUGUAUUUUACUCCUACAUCAUAAUUAGCAGUCCACAAAGUAUUUAUUUCUGUGUAUGCAGGAAGGAAUAAACAUUAAUACUGGCAUUCUAGUAAGUAACACAUUCAAAAGUAUCUCUUUUACAAUUCAGUGUUGAAAAUCAAAGUACCAAAUAUACGUAGGUAUACUUGAAUUCCACUUAACAUAUUUUUCUAUUUCAUUGCCAAUGUCGAUUGUCCAUUAUUGCUAAUAAACAGAAUCCAUAUUGGGUGACUUCAAGCAAUUAAUUCACGGACUCCUCUAGACUGACUGGACUCAGAUAAAUUAUUAUUAUCCUGGAUAAAGGAAGCUAAAAUUUAGGAUAAGCAAAGGCUCCAGGAGGCUGGAUAUCAAGGAUGGCUACUUCAUUACCACAUCUGCUCUUAACAGCUAGAACAGUCCGAGUCUGAGUAGGUCGGUAUCCCUAUCUCUUAGGAUGGUCUCUACAUGGCUAAUAGGACCAUCUCUGUUAAACUGUGCACAUGGACCUACCUUUGCUUUAGACUUUUGAGCCUGUUUAUCAUAAGUACUUAAAAUACUCACUAUAUGCCUCUUUAGAUGAUCGUUUUGUCUCUUCUAGCUGCAUUUAUCAGCAUUCUUUUAUGUCUCUUAGAUUUUUAUGGAAGUCUUUAAUAUGUUGAAUAUAGAUACUGGAAAUAAAUACUUUUAAGUUAAUAAACUAAUAUCUACUUUGUUAUGGUGGAAUAUGUAUGGAAACUUUGUUAAUCUAGUCAGAAAUCGUGAACUAAUGACUUCUGUUUAUACCAUAAUUGACCAUGACUCACUGUAAUCCUCAUAACUUAGAUAUUAUUUUAUGCUCAAGGAAUGGUCUACUCAGUCAAUGAUGUUUGUCAACAUCUGUUCCUGGCUAGGCUGUGAGACUUUUCAUUUAGCAUUGAAUCUUCACUUUGUCAAGCCACAUCAAGCAAACCAGCUUCCAGCUUCCCCAGAGUUCAUAUCCUCACUCACUGCUUAUUAGGAGCUGAGUGCUGGGGGGUAAGAAGAAGGGUGUUUCCUGACAUGUUUUGGAUCCUCAGCCUUUUGCAGCUUUAGUGGUAUAAUUGAAGAUUUGGCUGGCCUGAAUGCACGCAGACAGUGAGUACCCUAGAUAGACUGAUCCUGGGGUUCUGACUUCCCAAGGGAGCUCCUUUCUCUAGAUUUCAUGUUCAUUUUGUCCUGCUUUUAACUCAAAAUUUGCUUUGGAAUUGCAAUUUACUCAGUUAUUGUUAUCUUGAAAGAUGACAACAGGGCCAUUCAAAGUGCUUUCUCUCUCCAGGCUGAAGGUAGAAAUCUCUGCAGGACUCUAAAUGUCCCUUCCUUUCCCUGGUGGUUCCAGUCAUCCUGAGAGGCUGCACUCUGGGUGCCAGCCUUAUUCUGACAUGUAAAAGCCUGGGGCAUACUGUAAAAAAGGCAUGAACAUUUGUUAAUAAAUAAGUUAUAAGUACAUCCACAUGAGAGACCUCUCUACAACAAUGAAAUUAAAUAAAAUAUGUUUGUCCGCAUACAAAUUUUAUAGAUCUGGCCAACCCACCUUAAAAUGUGGAAACACUGAAACAGAGAGGAGCUGGGGUAAAAAUAUAUCUGCAUUAUGCAUCAAGAUAAACAUUUAUAGAAAGCAACACUGCAAAUCUACCCUGGUGUGUUUUCAUAGAUACCUGUGCCAUUUUGAAAUAUUAGGGGCAUUGGGAGAUGAAGCACCACCUCUUCAUAAAUUUUGAAACUCUGAAUGUCUGAUUUCAAACCUAUUCAAAGCUUCAGGGAAUGGAAUAUGAAAGAAUUUUGCCUUGUCCCCUCUAACUAUAUACUCCAAAAGUCAUAGUUCAUAGUUUUUCUUUUUCAUUUUCUUAUUUUUGGCUUAGUAACCUCCACAUUCUUUUAGCCUUCGAUUAUUUAUACUUAACCAAAUCUCACUUCUGACCAGUGUCCUUUCAGGAGUCCAGCACCCCUAAUCUAUGAUUGGGUAACCUUCUGAGCGGGACACAUUGCUGCCCAUUUCUGACCACUGCCUUCUUCCCCUUCCUUUUUUUCAAGCAGUGUCACCUUGUGUGCACACGUGUGCUGUAUGCCUGUGCAUGCACAGGCUUAUGCAGAGAUGCUCAACUGUGCUAUCAUUGAAGAUGGAGAUUAAUUUCUAUCAAUCUUUCUUUAGUCAAUUCUUCAUCUUUUUUUUUUUUUUCACACAGAGUCUCUGACCUGAAAUUCACUAUGUUGGCUACACUGACUGGACAGCAAGUCUCAGCAUAUACUUGUCUCCACCCACUUCAUUGGGUGUUAUAGGCACACACUGAUGUGCCCAGCCUUUCUGUGAAUUCUGGGAAUUGGGAUUUGGUUCUUCAAUUUGCAUACCAAGUACAUUACCAACUGAACCAUCUCUCCAGCCCCCAUAUCACAUUUCUUAUACUUGGCCUUGAAAAAAAUGUAUUUUCUUUGAAAAAAAUCGUGUGGUUAUGAUAUUUUCUCCUUUUAAAGUAUUAGUGGUUGGUUUGUCCAUUCACUUAGUUCUCUAUUUGAGGCUGCAUUUUUCAUUGCCUUUCUUAUAAGCCCUGAUACUAAACAACACAUUUCACAAAAGCUGCCCCUUUGGAUGAUACCCCUGCCUCUCUCUGUUUCUCUCUGGUCCCAAAUAUGUGAUUUGGCUUUUAAAUUCCUACACUCUAACAGUGGAUACUGAAAAAAACCUUAAAUAAAAUGGUCAGCUCUGGAUAAUGGACAGUGUACUAUGGACUAGGAUGAUCCUAUCUUUCAUGCUGUAGAGAUAAGUUUAACAAGUUCUACCUGCAAUAGUAAAUGUCUGUACACAGAAUACGCAAUGAUGCAUAAAGGUGUAAAAGACAUAAUAUGUUUCCUUCUCGCUUUAAGAAAGUUUUACUCACUGUUAUUGGUCACAGUCCACUUACAUGAUAUUGCCAGUCAGAUGGAAUAUGAAAUUAAUACAUGUGAUAAAAUAUUGAAGCCAUUUCUCUCCCAGUUUCCCUGUAACAUAGAAGUAUGAAAUCAGAAUCCAUUUCCACUCUUGUCUCUUACACUUACACACCCCAAGCUGACAGCCUAGGCUAGGGGCCAAGCUGUGCUGUAAAUUCAUGCUGACUUGUGAACCUUUUGGAACAUUGCAAUGCUCUUUCCAUUCAAUUUGCAGAAACAUUCAUGCCUGAGGCCUUGAGCAUGCAAAAAAUAAUUUGUUGUAGAUGUGAUAGGAAUUCUGAUCUUUUGCUGGGAAUAUAAGAUAUCAAAUAUGCAAGACAAGUAGAGAAUAAGAGAGAAUAAGGCAGAAUUUCCUGAUUUCCCCACAUUACCUCUAUUACUUGGAGUUUGCCUUUAUUUUUGCUUUGGAAUUAUUAUUAAUAAAUUCUGAUCUUAUUCUAUGUAUUUUAUUUGACAUUUUGUUUUAGAUAGCUUCAAGCGACUGAAACUAUCAUCAUAUUGACAAUAUGACAUAGUGAUUAGCAUUGAACCUUGACUAAAAAGCAUAAAUUUAAGAGAGUUCUGAUUUUCACUAGCUCUGUGAAUUUAAGAUUAUUUAGAUAAAAUUUUACUCUGAUCUGCUCUAUUAAUUGAGUAAUAUAAUG
rnacentral:lncRNA from 1 species